UUGAGCGCUGAAGGUUGGUACUUGUACCGACUGGAUGAGCAGCGAACGGGUGAGUAACGCGUGGGGAAUCUGCCUUUGAGCGGGGGACAACAUUUGGAAACGAAUGCUAAUACCGCAUAAAAACUUUAAACACAAGUUUUAAGUUUGAAAGAUGCAAUUGCAUCACUCAAAGAUGAUCCCGCGUUGUAUUAGCUAGUUGGUGAGGUAAAGGCUCACCAAGGCGAUGAUACAUAGCCGACCUGAGAGGGUGAUCGGCCACAUUGGGACUGAGACACGGCCCAAACUCCUACGGGAGGCAGCAGUAGGGAAUCUUCGGCAAUGGACGAAAGUCUGACCGAGCAACGCCGCGUGAGUGAAGAAGGUUUUCGGAUCGUAAAACUCUGUUGGUAGAGAAGAACGUUGGUGAGAGUGGAAAGCUCAUCAAGUGACGGUAACUACCCAGAAAGGGACGGCUAACUACGUGCCAGCAGCCGCGGUAAUACGUAGGUCCCGAGCGUUGUCCGGAUUUAUUGGGCGUAAAGCGAGCGCAGGUGGUUUAUUAAGUCUGGUGUAAAAGGCAGUGGCUCAACCAUUGUAUGCAUUGGAAACUGGUAGACUUGAGUGCAGGAGAGGAGAGUGGAAUUCCAUGUGUAGCGGUGAAAUGCGUAGAUAUAUGGAGGAACACCGGUGGCGAAAGCGGCUCUCUGGCCUGUAACUGACACUGAGGCUCGAAAGCGUGGGGAGCAAACAGGAUUAGAUACCCUGGUAGUCCACGCCGUAAACGAUGAGUGCUAGAUGUAGGGAGCUAUAAGUUCUCUGUAUCGCAGCUAACGCAAUAAGCACUCCGCCUGGGGAGUACGACCGCAAGGUUGAAACUCAAAGGAAUUGACGGGGGCCC
rnacentral:rRNA from 1 species